AUUGAACGCUGGCGGCAUGCUUUACACAUGCAAGUCGGACGGCAGCGGGGUAGUGCUUGCACUACUGCCGGCGAGUGGCGAACGGGUGAGUAAUAUAUUGGAACGUACCGAGUAAUGGGGGAUAACCAAUCGAAAGAUUGGCUAAUACCGCAUACGCUCUGAGGAGGAAAGCAGGGGACCUUCGGGCCUUGCGUUAUUCGAGCGGCCAAUAUCUGAUUAGCUAGUUGGUGGGGUAAGGGCCUACCAAGGCGACGAUCAGUAGCGGGUCUGAGAGGAUGAUCCGCCACACUGGGACUGAGACACGGCCCAGACUCCUAAGGGAGGCAGCAGUGGGGAAUUUUGGACAAUGGGCGCAAGCCUGAUCCAGCCAUGCCGCGUGUCUGAAGAAGGCCUUCGGGUUGUAAAGGACUUUUGUUAGGGAAGAAAAAGGAGCGGUUAAUACCCGUUUCUGCUGACGGUACCUAAAGAAUAAGCACCGGCUAACUACGUG
rnacentral:rRNA from 1 species